CCCCAAAACCCCAGAGAGGGAAAGUUUAUCAUACUCUUUGCAACCUUCUGAUUCUAUCAGAGAGAGAGGCUCCGCCUAAUGCUAGCUAAUCUUUAACAGCCACCCUGUGACGCUUGCAAACCUUCCCUUCCUUCUGUCUCUGGCAGACUCUGGCCGGGGCUGCCCCCUCUCAAUGUUAUUCCUUGAAUUCAUCGUGAUGCCCCUUCUACCGAUGGAAUCGAAUACUGGCUUCCCAACGAUGCUGGUGACGGGAAGCUCUCUUCCUUAAUCAACCGAUUCACAGAAGUUUCGAAAACAAAGAGUAAGCCGGAAGAAAGACAAACGUUAAACAUGGGGGCGGUGUCGGCAGCGCGUCUGCGGCAGAUGGAGUUUGAGGAACACGACGAGGAAAGAAGAAAGGAGACCUCUCCGACCCUGUGUUUUCUAUGAAGUCACACAGAAAGCCACUGGCCAAAUGGGACCCAUGAAGUCUGGAGCCACUAAGUGAGUGAGUCUCUUUCACACUAACCCUUUUUUUAAAAAUCUUUUUUAGCAUUUAUUUAUUUUUUGAGAUACAGAGACAGAGCACAAGUGGGAGAGGGGCAGAGAGAGGGAGUCACAGAUUCCAAAGCAGGCUCCAGGCUCUGAGCUGUCAGCACAGAGCCCAAUGUGGGGCUCAAAAUCAUGAACCAUGAGAUUGUGACCUGAGCUGAAGUCGGAUGCUUAACCAACUGAGCCACCCAGGCACCCCUCACACUAACCCUCAAGGCCAUUUUUUUACUGUUUAUGUAUUUAUUUGAGAGAGAGAGAGAUAGAGAAUGAUCAGGGGAGGGGCAGAGAGAGAGAGGGAGACAGAGAAUCCCAAGCAGGCUCCAGUGCUGUCAGCACAGAACCAUACCUGGGGCUCAAACCAUGAACUGUGAGAUCAUGACCUGAGCUGAAAUCAAGAGUCAGACACUCAACUGACUGAGCUACCUGGGUACACAGUCCUCAAUGCCAUUGAAUAAACCAUGUCAUUUUAGUAAAGUACA
rnacentral:lncRNA from 1 species